AAUGAACGCUGGCGGCGUGCCUAAUACAUGCAAGUCGAGCGGAUGGACGGAGAGCUUUCUUCGAUGCAGUUACGGGCGGGCGGGUAAGUAAUACGUAGCUAACUUAUCUUUGAGACUGGCAUACCUAAGCGAACCCUGAGACCACACAGGACAAUAUUUUGAAACGGAUGGAUCAUCGGUCAUAGACGGUUUUGCUGUCACUAAUUGCUGGAUCCGAGCUGCAUUAGCUAGUUGGUACGGUAACGGCUUACCAAGGCAACGAUGCAUAGCCGACCUGAGAGGGUGAUCGGCCACACUGGAACUGAGACACGGUCCAGACUCCUACGGGAGGCAGCAGUAGGGAAUCUUCCGCAAUGGGCGAAAGCCUGACGGAGCAACGCCGCGUGAGUGAUGAAGGUCUUCGGAUCGUAAAACUCUGUUAUUAGGGAAGAACAUAUGUGUAAGUAACUGUGCACAUCUUGACGUUACCUAAUCAGAAAGCCACGGCUAACUACGUG
rnacentral:rRNA from 1 species